rnacentral:lncRNA from 1 species
GCUGGGGCACCAGGAGGCCAGGAUGGAGCUCCACAGAGCCCCAGGGGUACGGGAGAGGUGGCAGUGCCCGCUCCGCAUCCAUUCCUCCUCCCCAGGCCCUGCCAGCUGGCUUCUCCAGCUCCAACUGGGCUCUGCCUUUCCCUCUCCCUCCAUCACCCUGCUGCCUCCCCUCCUUCUCCCCUCCUCUCCUGCUCUCUUUCCCGUUCCCUCCCCUCUCCCCAUUCCCCUUCCCGGACCUCCCCCGCCCUCACUUCUUUCCUCUCCUCUCCUCUCUUUUCCUCUCCUCUUUUCUCUGAGUCCUUCUCCCUCGCCUCCUUCCUUUCUUCUUCCUGGGUUAAAAAUAAUCAACUUUCUGGGAAGCAGCAGCUCCUGCUGAGCCGCCCUCCCCACACUCGGGAGCCCCUGAGAAUAGCUUUCUGCGGUUCUCCACUAGAGCCCCUCCCCUCCCCUCGCCGCCUCCCCGCGAGCUGACUAAUAAGCCCGGCCGCGCGGUGCCAGCUCGGCUGGAAAGGCGUUAACCACUUCGUGCCCGGACUGCGCGAAAGGGGCGGACCGGCUCCCUGCAGGCCCGGGGGGAGGGGUGGCGGGCGCGGGCGGCCCCGGGACACGGCUCAGGACGAGGCCCUGAGCGGCAGGCGGUAGGCCCUCGAUUUUUACUGGCGGUGGGAUGAAUGUUGACUUCUGACCGCCACGCCGGCAGGUCCUGCUGCUGGUGCAGCUAGCAGAGCUUAGUGGCCUCGGUGGGCGCGCCAGGUGCGACACCCAAGGGAUGGGUCGGGGUCACAUGGAGGGCGUGGCUGGGCCGGUGAGGCUCUCUCCCCGUGGCCCGAGGGACUCCUAGGUCCUGGCACUGGGCACCGCCUGAGGGGAAGCCGGGGCUGGGACCGUUAAAGUUCGGGCCAAGGGCAGGGAAGGGCUGAAAACUGUCCUGGGAUCCAAGGACGUCCACAGCUGGUAGGGUCUUUAGCGAUCACCCACUCUGCUUCUUGCAGAAAGGGAAACUGAGGCCCAGAGGGUGUGACUGAGGCCGGGACGUCUCUCAGUUCCUGUCCCAGACUAAGGGAGGCCCGCGGCCCUGCAGCCGACUUUCAGUUCGGGCGCCUCUGCAGGGGUAAGGUUGGGGGAGGGGAGGGUGUACAUCAAGGUCAAAGGUGAGGGGUAGGUGGGGAGAGAAGAAGCGCUGAGCUCUGCGGGGUCCCCGUCAGCCCCGCCCACUCCGCGUGGUCCCGGCAUUACCUCAUCGCGGCGCGCGCUCAUUGGCUGGCUCCCCCCUUGAAGGACAGCCCAAUGCGGCGGAGCCCGUUAACCCUUUCCGCCCCGCGGACUCUGCCCUGGCCAUGCCACCUGCCUCCGCGGCCCCCAAGCGGCUUUCAGGCGCUGGAGGGCCACGGAGAACAGGGAAGGGUAGUGUGGGAGCCGGCUUGAGGCCAGAGAGCACAGUGGUUAGAGCACAGGUCAGACAACUACGUCUUCGGCCCCUGUCCUGCGGCCGGCCGGCCGGCUGUGUGACCUUGGGGGACUGGCUUCACCUCGCCGAGCCUCCGCUAGUUUGCUCAGCUGUAAACAGGUGAAUGAUGUAACUCCUGCCCUUCCCAAUUCCUUCUUCCCGGUGUACUUGCCAAGUGCCAGGCACACGUGGGCUCUGCGUUCUAUUCCACCUUGUCUCCUCACUGGAAGAGGUACAGUUAUUAUUAUGGGUUUUCCGGGGAGGAAACAGGGCUCAGGGCAGCAAAGCUGCCUCCCAAGGUCACGCAUCAAGAAAGUCACAGAGCUGGGAUUUGACCCCGAGUCUGCGGGUUCUGAGCUGUACUCCUCCCCAGGGCAAGAUUCUGCUUCUGCUGGGAGGCGCUGCUUCUAGGAGCUCUCCGUCUCUCCGGAAGGAGGGACAGGACUCAUACCCAGCUGGUCAGCUCGUGACAGAUGCCACUGUGGCCAAAUAAAACCAGAGCCCAGGAUCUCCAUGGACAAGGGACAGGAAGAAGGGUGAGGGCAGGGAGGGGCUGGAGUUGAAUCCUCAAACAGGGAGGCAGGAGGACCCUCAGACAAAGGCAGGGGGCUGGACUGAGCCCAGCGAGGGUGCAUGGAGUAGGAAGCUCUGAAGAAGCCUGCAGGAUCCCCUGGGGGUCAGCCUGCUGGUUAGGGGUCAGCCCAGGGAGGCGGCUUCUCUCUGGGCAGCACCAGGGGUCAGCCUGGGGCAGGAGUGCAAGCCGAGGCCCACAUACCUCAUGUCUAGGUAUUUACAAGUUAUAAAUCAAGCUAACAAACUGCUAAAUAAAAUAUGUUCUGUUGCCGGGUGCGGUGGCUCACGCCUGUAAUCCCAGCACUUUGGGAGGCUGAGGCGGGCAGAUCACCUGAGGUCGGGAGUUGGAGACUAACCUGACCAACAUGGAGAAACCACGUCUCUACUAAAAAUAUAAAAUUAGCCAGGCAUGGUGGCGCAUGCCUGUAAUCCCAGCUACUCGGGAGGCUGAGGCAGGAGAAUUGCUUGAACCAGGGAGGUGGAGGUUGCAGUGAGCCGAGAUCACACCACUGCACUCCAGCCUGGGCAACAAAAGCGAAACUCCGUCUCAAAAAAAAAAAAAAAGUUCUGUCCUCCUUCCUUGACAAAUACACCUUCAUAAGGACAAACACACCUGGAAGGCUGGGUUUGUGUUUAGAAUUCUCAGGCUCCUUGGAGACCACAGGAGGAGCUGUAGCGGGUUGGGGAGCCCGCCUCUCAGCCUCUGGCCUCCGGCUUCACACUCGCCUCUUCUUUUCUUUUUGCCCCAGGUUCUGUCCUUUUCCCUGAGGGGCUGUGCAUGCUCAGGUGUAGGCACUCCAGGCUGUAAGCACAUGUUCUGUCCACACCCCCUGCCAACAGCCACCUCCUGGUCACUCCUGGGGUUUAGGGGUGCCCAAACAGGUGGCUCAGACAACCCUCAGGAGGAUGCACACAGGACGCAGGCUGGGGCCAUUGAACAGGGAACUCCAGGGCCCCAGGUGCCAGAUCAUGGUCAAGGGGCCCAUGGCUCCAGCUGGAAAUGUCUCCCUGGUCCAGGAGCGCUGCCCUCUAAAGCACAGGGCUCAAGUCUGUGGGCUGAUGGCCCCAGGGUGCUGCGGCAGCUGGGGUGGCCAGAGCUGGACACGGGGUCUCCCUCCAUCCUUGAGCUUGCUCCUAACCAUCACCUCCAGCCAUGUACCCCCGCCCCAGCCAGAUUCCCCAUGCCCCAACCAAAUGCCGACCCUGGGGAGCUUCCCACCUCAAUGAGUCAGCUCCCUUUACCCUGUCCCCACUGCCCCCCACCCUUAUCCCCCUUAUCCGGCUGCUCCAUCUCCCGCCUGCUCCCUGGGCUCCUAGCCCCUACUCUCUGCCUGCCCCCCAACCCCCCUCCGCCACCCUAACCUCCUAUCUGCCCUCCUCAGCUCAGCCAGCCAGAUCUUUCUAAAAUGCAAGGCUGCAGGCUUCCUUCCCUCUCUAACCAGCGCUGGUUCCCGGGCUCUCUACAUAUCAUCCCCAGGCUCUGGAGGUCUCUCCUUUCCUCCCCUCUCCUCUCCUCGGGUUCUGAGCUCUAGCCAUUUGGGCCUUCUCUCCAAUUCAGUUUUGUGUGCUUUCUGCCUCACGGUCUUCAUGCGUGCUACCCCCCUCUACCUGGAACCAUGUUUUCUGCUCUUUGUCCCCGGCUCCCCAGACCAGCAGAAACCACAUGGCGAUGAGCACAUGGAGUUAUCAGUUUCCAGUGUGUUUCCUACCUGGCCUGCAGGCAACAGGAGGACAGGCUGGGUCAGUGCUGUUCACUGCUCCAUCUUCAGUGUCUGGCACAGAGCAGGUGUCACUGAAGUUUCGUAAGUCAGAUGCAUCUGCACUGGGCUUGAAAUCAAGACACCACAGCAGCUAAUGUCUAUUGUAUGCUCACUGUGUCCUGGGCCCUGCUUUUAAGCAUAUGACAUGUAUUAGUUCACUUAUUUCUCACAACAAUCUUUGAAAUAGGAAUGAUUACUAUCUCCACUCUACAGAAUGAGGACACUAAGGCACAGAGAAGUUCAGAGACUUAGGCUCACAGCUGGCCAGUGACAGACCCCGAUUUGAACCCAGGCAAUGGAGCUCCAAUGCUGAACCACCUCUUGCCAUCUAGCCCCAGCUGGGCCAAGGCCUUGCUGUGGGUCCCUGGGCCAGUGUCUCCACUUCUCUGAGCUGCAGCUUUGUUUUUUUUUUUUUUUUGGGAUGGAGUUUCGCUCUUUUUGCCAAGGCUGGAGUGCAAUAGUGUGAUCUCGGCUCACCGCAACCUCUGCCUCCCGGGUUCAAGCGAUUCUCCUGCCUCAGCCUCCUGAGUAGCUGGGAUUACAGGCAUGCACCAACACGCCUGGCUAAUUUUGUAUUUUUUAGCAGAGACAAGGUUUCUCCAUGUUGGCCAGGCUGGUCUCGAACUCCCAACCUCAGGUGAUCUGCCUGCCUUGGCCUCCCAAAGUGCUGGGAUUACAGGUGUGAGCCACCACGCCCAGCUCUGAGCUGCAGCUUUUCUGUGUGUGCAGUGGAGGGUUGGCCACAGUGGUGAUCCCUGAGGUCCCUUCCAGCUCUGGCAGCCUGGCAGCUCCUCUGAUGAUCCAUCCUUCAGGGAGCCAAGGACUCCCCGUGGAGGUCCUGCAGGGAUGCCCAAGAGUUGGGUGGCUGGGAAACAGCUCACCGUGUGUUAGGCUGUAGACCUGAGUACCUGGCCAGGGACCCAAUCGUCCCCAGCAGUCUUGUCAUUGUGACCGGCCUUCAUCUCACAGGAACCCAGGCUGGGCUACGUAAAUGAACUGAGCUGAACUGCCAGGUGCUGGGGUUCAGGCAGAGACUGGAGGCUAGAAGUUGAGGGGGGCCAAGUACUGCAGUUGGGCUGGGGGACAGUACUUGGGGCAGGGUUGAGCUUGGGUCCCCACACCAAGAGCUCCACAGUCAUCUCAGGGACCCUUCAACAACAGCCCUGAGGGCUAUGCAUCCAUUUUUUAGAGGAGGACAUGAUGGGGAGGCACAGUGGGGGACAGUGACCUGGCCGAGGUCACACAGCAAGAAGGAGUCUAGAUUUGGCUUUUAACCACUCUGCCCCCAGCCUUGGGCAAAGGUGUUCAGUGUAGAUGUGAGAGUGAACUGAUAGAGAAGUUCUAGAAGGGGUCAGGUGCAGUGGCUCACCCCUGUAAUCUCAGCACUGUGGGAGGCCGAGGCGGGCGGAUCACCUGAGGUCGGGAGUUCGACACCAGCCUGGCCAACAUGGUGAAACCCUGUCUCUACUAAAAAUACAAAAAUUAGCCGGGCAUGGUGGAGGGCGUCUGUAAUCCCAGCUACUCGGGAGGCUUAGGCAGGAGAAUCGCUUGAACCCAGGAGGUGGAGGUUGCAAUGAGCCGAGAUCGUGCCACUGCACUCCAGCUUGGGCUACAGAACAAGACUCUGUCUUGGGAAAAAAAAAAAAGUUCUGGAAGAAACUCUGGGACAUACAUAUGGGUAUAUGGGUCCAUGUGUUCAUACCCAUGAGCAUGGGUACCCCCUUGCUCCCCAUCCCAGCACCUCUCCUUGCCCACCUCUGUCUCACUGCCUUUGUUUAUUCGCCUGUGGUCACUGUGGACUCUGCUAGACCCUGAGCCUGUGAGGGCAGCGGCUGUCUUCCUGUUCCCUGCACACCAGCACGUGACUCGAGCACAGGCAGGAGGAAGGCGGAUGGAAACACAGGCGCAGCCCAGGGCUGUUCCACCCUGUGUUCAGUCCCUUCCCUCCUUGGGCCUCUGUUUCUCAUCUCUGCAUAUGGGGUAAAAUGCCCCAUCCUUAGUCCGGGCUCAGGUGAGCCGCUGGGUUCCUACUGGGCCAUGGGAAGGGCCCUAAUACCUGAAGGGCAGGGAGGAUGAGGGCAGGCAGCUCAGCUGCCCUCCCUCCAUCCUGGGGCCUGCCACCUCCCCUCUGUCUUCUCCUGAUUCCGGUUCCCCACCAGGAAGGGCUCACUGUCCUGCUCAGCAAGUUCUCUCAACAAGCUGGGCAGCCAGGGGGGGGUGCUCUGCUGGACUGGAGGAGCCGAUGUGAGCCCAGGCCACCCAUGGAGGCUCCCUCUGAAGAGAGGGAACAGACAACCCAGCCACUUGUCAGGAACCCCGAUCAAAUACCCCACCCCCAAGGCUCAGCACUAAGUGUCCCAGGGGCCUGAUUUGCAGGAAGGGCAGCAGGAUGCUCACUUGGGGGUGGAACACUCACCUGAGGGAGGAACUGUACCUGCCGAGGCUUGGAUUACCCACAAACUCAGCCCAGCAGGAGCCCGCUGGCUGUGCUAACAAUGUCCUCUGUGACGUUGCUGAGAUUCUGCAAGGUUCUUUCAGUGUUAGCCCAUUUUACAGAGGAGAAAGUUGAGGCUCCAGACAGAUGUGAGCUUAAGCCUCUGGCCCAGUUCAAGUUUCCAAAUAUUCCAGAGGCCAGGGCCUGGGGCGGGGUGUGGGGCACCCCAAAGUCCAGGUGAGGGUGACCUGAGGGUGAAGUCUGGGUCUGGAGAGGCAAUAGAGGGAGUGAGGACGGCUCCUGCCAGAAACAGGGGAGGGGUGUUUGAGACCUUGAAGGAGGUGGGACUGUGACAGUGGUGACUGUGGGAGGAGUCCGGGUCCAAGCAACAACUGGGAGAGACUUGGUGCAGGGCCCUGAGCUGAAAUGGAGGAAAACGGAGCUGGGUGGGUCCCUGCCCUCAAUGGGGGGUAAAUGCUGAGGCUGGGGGCACGAGCCCAGAGGAGGGCACCAGGGCAGCCCAGACAUGAGCUCUGUGGUCUGUGUGUGUUUACUGUGUGGCCAGAGCGUGUGAGGAGUGUGUGGAACCGUCUGUGUGAUGUGGGAGUAGGGGGAUAAGUGUAUUGGCAUAUGGAGUGGGAGUGUGUAUGUGUGCACGCAUGCACCUUUGUGCCUGUGAUCUGCGUCAUGCAGUGUGUCUGUGCCUGUGUGGGAUGUGGUCCCUGUGAUGUGGGGCGUGUAUGUCGGUGUGUGUGUGUGUUGUGGGGUAGUGCUAACCGGGACACUCUCCAGGGGAAGAUCCUAGCUCGGAUGGAGGUGGAGGAGUUAACCAGGAGAAUGGGAGAGGGACCAGCACGUGCAAAGGCCUGGAGGCAUGAAGAUGGAGCCUGGAGCACUGGAGGACUUGAAAGUGGUCCAGUGAGGCUGGGAGUAGGGAGGGAGAGGCAGGGGCUGGGAGGGACAGGGCAGGCCUUCCUCCACCAGUUUGAAUUCCGUUAGCUUGAGGGUGUGUACAGCCAGGAGGGGUGGAGGGGCUGAGAGGAGGCCGAGCCACCACUGACCAGGUGGAGGGGUAGGGGGUGAGCCUGGACCGGGGCAGGUGCUGGGUGGAGGUGGGGGAGUGAGAGCCAGAGCUCUCAACCAAGCCUCUGGGAGGCCGCAGGGCCUGGGAUCGCAGACCCGAGCCUAAUCCCUGCUCAGCCCAAGAGCUGUAGCCAGAAGGUUCUUAGUUUCCCCUCAGUAAACUGAGGUUCAGGACAUUUCUGGGGCACUUGCUCUGUGUGACUGGGCAAGGGCUGGGCAGGCAUUUCCAGCAUGAACACGCUUUCCCAGGCCCACUGGUUGGAGGGCACCGAGGGGAGAAGGGGGACAGAGGAAAGGAGCCGGAAGCAGGAUCCAGAAUUUGAACCUAGGUGGUCUGACUCCAAGAGGGCCCUCUCUCUCACUUGACUUCAAUAGUGACAUUAGCCAACUUCAAUAGUGACCCCAGGCGCGGUGGCUCACGCCUGUAAUCCCAGCACUUUGGGAGGCCGAGACGGGUGGAUCAUGAGGUCAGGAGAUGAGACCAUUCUGGCUAACACGGUGAAACCCCGUCCCUACUAAAAAUACAAAUAAUUAGCCGGGUGUGGCUGCGGGUGCCUGUAGUCCCAGCUACUCGGGAGGCUGAGGCAGGAGAAUGGCGUGAACCCGGUAGGCGGAGCUUGCAGUGAGCCGAGAUCGCGCCACUGCACUCCAGCCUGGGGAAAGAGCGAGACUCCGUCUCAAAAAGAAAAAAAAAAAAAUUGACCCCAGUAGUGACAACAGUGACUCACCUGCCCCAUGGGCUUCCAACUGCGAUGGUUGUGCUCUCCUUUGACCCUGUAUCCUGGGGGACUGCAUACGGUAAUUAUAUUGUUACUGCGCCUUUUUAGAGAUGAGAAAACUGUGGUCAGUAGCAGAGUGGCCUGACCAGGGCUCCAACUCCCCCGUCCUACUGCAGAUGAUGUGGGGCAGUUUUCUUAGCACAGGCUGGAAAGCUCUCUUAGGUAACACGUGGAUGACAGCGUGUGACCCGGCAGAAAAGAAUUGUAAUUCCGGGUGGCUGUACGACCUUGGACGGUCCUUUUGCCAUCUCUGGGCCUCGAUUUACCCAACUGUACAAUUCGCCCCGUGAGUCUAGGAAGAUUUGCUGAGCGUCUGCCAACUGGCAGAUGAGGAACCGAAGUUCAGAGAGUUGAAAGCACUUGCCCCAGGUCAGGCGGCCGGCUUCGAAGCCGGAUUCCGAAGGCGUGCCCUGCCCUCGGCCCCCAGCGGUGUCGUCCUGCCCCCAGGGGGCCGCGAUGCGGGGCCGUUCCAGGCCCUGCCAGCCUGACGUCAAGCCCGGCCGGCGGGGCCUCGCUCUGCACAAACAGACGCCGCAGGCCAGCGUCGGGGCCGGGGGCGGCGAUGACUCAGGGCCCCGAGACGGGCCGGGAAGCGGAAAGUUGUGUGCAGAUGACAUCAGCCGGCCGCGAGGGCGGGAGGGGGCCGGCUCCGGGAAACGGCGGCCUGGCGGGCGGCCCGGGGCAGGGCGUGGAGAGGCGGCCGCGGGGCGGGGGCGGGGACGCCGGGACGGGACGCUCGGGACCACGAAAAAUGUCCCCACUCCCGCCCGCCCCGGACCCAGGCCCCGGAGCCCGGCCCCGCUUUUCGCCGGCGAGGAGCGGGCUUCACCCGCCUGCAAAGACUCCGCGCUCCCCCGCGCUCCGGAGGCAGCCGCAUCCAUCCUGCUGCGUCCCUGCAUUUUAAUUACCGCCGUAUUAAUAUUCAUGAGCCGGGACUCGAGGGGGACCGCGGGCUGUCAUUUCCCUCGCCCGCCCUUCCCCCACCGCACCCCUCUUCCCGGGCUGAGUCGUGGGCUUUUUUCCUCCCGUUCUCAACCCCGCUCGCACCAACCGUUGGUGCGCAGCAGAUUUGGGGGAGGGGGGUUGGUGUGAGUGUGAGCAUGAGUGUGAGCGAGUGUGAGUGGGGAGGGGCCGAGUGUGAGUCUGUGCCUGUGUCUGUAUGCCUGUGUGUACGUGCCUAUGUGUGCCUGUGUGUCUGUCGGCAAUCCCAGGGCCGUGUGUGCACAUGUCUCUGAUGUCUCUGUGGGGCUUGGAGAAGGGCCAAAGUCUGUCCAAGUUAGCAGGGCCUGACUGUACAAAUGGGGAAACUAAGGCCUGGAGAAAGGCUGGGCCUUGUCCAAAGCCACCCCAUAGGUCAGUAGCACAGGGAAGCCAGAGCCCAGGGUCUUGCGUUUGGCCGACUCUGCUCCCCGACUCUCCCGUGCUGUUGUUUGUAACAAUGGCAGACAGGAUGUGCUGAGCCGGCACCUCUCAUAUGGCCUUCCCAGCAAACCUGUGCAGCACGUGGUCCUAUCCGUCCCCCGUGCACAUAGGGAAACUGAGGCAACUGGUCCAGCCAGUGAGGGGUGGACUGGAGCCCAGAAGUGUCUGAAUCCCAAGUCCCUGGGUUUAACGGCCCCACUGUGAUGCCUCCUGGGGAAUUGUGGAGUGUCCUCACUGGGGUGAUCCGGGGGUACCUGGAAGUUCCUGGGUGCCCGGGCAUCAGGGGGGUGUUUCCCCAGAAACACAGCCCACAUUCUGUUUCCCUCCCAAGUCAGUCAUCAGAUGAGGCUGCCUUCCUGUGGCUCUCCCAGUCCCUCUCUGUCCUCUCCCCAUCCCUGAAGCCUCCCAGGAGCUGCCCUGCACACCAGGCCUUCCUCCCUGGGCCUGAGGUCAGGCAAUCACUCAUUCAUUCAUCCAACAAAUGCUUCAGUGCCAGUCACUGUGCUAGGCACUGGGGAUUCUCUGCUCCCUACUCUGGUCAUCUCUACCUGGCCUAGGAGCCUCCAGGCCCACAAGGGGGCUGUUCACCUCUGUGUGUGAAUGCUCACUAGUGGUGGGGGACUAGGGGCACCUGUGCACAAAAGACAGCUCUCACCCAGCCUUGCCACAGAGGUCUGGGGUGCCCACAUAUUCAGUGGCCAGAAAGGGGCUGCGAUCAUCUUAGGGCUGAUGGGGCGGUGGCCACACUAGGCAGCCUGAAUCUUUGAUUCUCUCUCCUGCAACUUGUCCUCCUCUGACUGCCAAGCCAAAUAACCCCAGGGGCUGGUCAGCCUGCCUUACCCCGGGUUGAGCCAAGGCCGUCCUCCCUCUCACGUCCAGCCUAGAAUAGAUGGACUGUUCCCUCCUCUCUGCCCACGCAGGGCUGGGCUGGAAGUUGUGUCCCAGCCAUGUCCCCUGAGCCUUUUCUCCCCUCCCUUUGGGAGCUCCGCAGGAACACAGAGAAGAGGACAGGGGUGCAGCCAGAGGACUCGGGAGAGGAAGCGAUAAUUUAAUUGGGCUUCACGGGCUAAAUAGGAGUUUGCCUAGGAGAGGCGGCCCAAGGACAGGGGACUAGCUCAGAGGGGUGCCUACCUGCAGCCCCCAUUCUAUAACAGGAACCAGAGCAGGCCAAAGGCAAGAGACCUGGGGAGACUGGGAGGACGGAUUUUCUCCUAAAGGGCCCCAGGCAGUACAGCCUAGUGGUCCAUCCGCACUCUUGGGUGGGUCCAUCCUGGGUGAGAAUUCCCCCUCCCUCCUCACUGUGAGGGCCUCUAUUUCCUGAUCUGCAAAACUGGGAAAAUAACAUUUUUUUUUCAGGUUUAUAUUCAGAUCAAGAGACACUGCCUGUACAGCACCUAGCACGGUGGCUGGGGCUCUGUCAUAGGGUGAUGUGUCCUCACGGACGUAGGGAGGCCUCUGGAAUCACUGUCCCCAUUUGGCCCAGAAUGGGAUUUAAGGAUCAGUCUGUGUCCCACAGUCUAACCCAUGGAGUGGAGUUUGGUAGGGACAGACUGCUGGGAGGAGGGGGAACAGCCUGAAACUGUCAUGGGUCAGGCAAGGCUCAGGCUCUAGGUAAGAGAGGGAUCUCAGAGGCCGCACCGCCCUGCCUGCUGGGCUCCUUGUAGACCUGCCAGAUGGCCCAUCACCCAAACAGCCAGACCUGCAGUGAGAGGGGCAGCCUGGCCCGCCAGCUCUGGGCUCCCUCCUGCUGCCUGUGUCUCUUUGCCUCCUGGCUCCCCUCUGUCUUUUGAAAAUGUCCUCCCUUCUUUUGUUAGAAUAGUCAUACCUAUACAGGGCAAACACACACACACACACACACACACACACACACACACACACAGACAAAAAAACACAAAACCAUUUUUUUUAAAGGAAGCAUUGUAAAAGUUCAUGCAGUACAUCCUGACGCUGUCAUUCUAGGUUUCGUGUACAUUUCUGGGACAUUUCUCUGCUUAUGGAGCUGUCUUUGUAAAACUUCCAUAGGAUGACAUCCACCUCUGCUCAAAGGCCUUCGAUGGCUCCCCAUUUUUAUAAAGCAAGGUAGCUUCCUCCAGCCUUUGCAGGCUGGCCCAGGCUCGGCAACACCAUUCUCCUUCCCCUCCCCAUUACCCUCCCUGACGCUGGGCUGCGGGCCCUUCCUCAGAGCAUGGCCUCCUCUCCUGCCACCAUGCCUUUGGCUUUGCUGUGCCAACCUCUGGGAAUGGCCCAGUGCCCUCCACUGAGAUUUCUCAAGAGCAGCCUUUGCUGUCCCCUGGCCUCUGUGCCUCCCCCACCAGCUCUCCUCCCUCCCCAUCCCCUACACCAAAACCCACCUCUCUCUCUCCCGGUGCCCUCAGCUCUGGUGGACGCCUCUAGGGUGCUGCUUUUCACAUCUAACUCUCAGGAGCGCCUCCUCCAAGUCUUGUGUCCCCACUCGGCUAUGAGCAUCUCAAAGGCUGGGGUCCUGGCAUCUUCGUUUUUGUUGCCACCUACCUUGAUGCCCUGCACACAGUAGGGACUUUAAAAUGUUAUAUUAAAAAAAUUAAAGUUGCUUUUUCUCUUUUUCCUUCUUUCUUUCUUUCCUUUUUUCUUCCUCUCUCUCUCUCUCUUUUUUUUUUUUUUUUUUUUUUUUUGGCGGAGUCUCAUCCUGCUGUCCAGGCUGUAUGGAGUGCAGGGGCGCGAUCACGGUUCACUGCAGCCUUGACCUCCCCAGGCUCAGGUGAUCCUCCCACCUCAGCCUCCUGAGUAGCUGGGACUACAGGCGCGCUCCAUCAGGCCGGGCUAAUUUUUGUAUUUUUGUAGAGAUGAGGUUUCGCCACGUUGUCCAGGCUGGUCUCAAACUCCUGGGCUCAAGUGAGCCUCCAGCCUCAGCCUACCAAACUGCUGGGAUUACAGGCGUGAGCCACUACACCCUGCCUGCUUUUUCUUUAGGGAUUCAGGCUCUAAGCCAACAAAUGAUGGUUUGAAUCGUGACUCUAUCAUUUCCUAGCUGUGUGUCCUUGAGAAAGUGAAUCAACCUCUCUGAGCCUCAGUUACCUCAUCUGGAAAAGAAAGUUAAUAAUAAAAUCUCCCUCCACGAGUAACAGUGAUUAACAGUGCAUGUAAAACAUCUAGCACCGGCCCAGGGCAGAGAGUAGCCAGCAAGCUCUAAUGUUACUCCGUUUUGUCUUAUUCAGUCUCAUUCAGACUUGUCCAAAGUCACCUGUCCAAUUUUGGGCAGUGCUGGGACGCUCCCCCUGUCUCUUCCCCCUCCAAUGCUACUUCCCUGUAGUGGGAGAGGGUCCCAGGCCAUCAUCUCUGUUUUGCAGAGGAGAACCAGGUUCAGAGAGGCCGAGUUGCUCACCCGGGAUCACACAGCCCUGAGAACAAGGCAAGGGUCUGCCUGUUUGCUAAGUUCCAUGUGAGUUCUUUAGGUUGCUCAGGAUAAGGAUGGCCUCAAUGAGACCCACCGUCCUGACAGAGGGGCUCGUACUCUUGUGGCCAAGAACUGGCAAGGUGGGCUCCUCGGGGGCCAGGGAGCCACCGCAAGUGCUAUUAAGUGGAACAUCACUAAGACAAACAGCCCGCAUUUCCUGGGUGCUUUCCCCAGGGCAGGGAGCUGUGUCAAGUGUUCAUGGGCACAGUCUCCUUCCAUCCUCACAGCAACCCUAUUAUCCUGCAUUCCAAGGAUGGGUGCUCCCUCAGAUCCCAGGCUCCACCCCCCAACGCCCCCAACCCAAGUUGGGGGUGCUGCUUGGGUCUCAUAGAACAUCUUGGGGUCCCUCCCCAGCCCUGGCCCCACAGAGCCGACCCAGCUGCGUCUCUGAGCCGCACCCAAAAUCUUCCCAGCUUUGCCAGGGAGACUGGAAAUUUCUGCUCAGCAGCUUCGUCUGGGAUGAUUUCGACACUUGGCUCGAUGGGGUCGAGAGGAGGAGCCAGGCCGCUCAGCCGCUCAACAUUCUGGAGCUCCCCUUGGGUCACCGGGAGGGGGGCUUUGCUAGGCGUAGAUGAGCCCCUCCGAAAUGGUAAAAUCAAGCAACAGUGACCAAGUACCGAGCGCUUACCGUGUGCUGGGCCCUGUGCCAAGUCAGGACUUGCUGGGCCUCACGGAACCUUCCGGCGCCCGGGCAAGGCCAGCACUGUUACCAACUGUCUCGCGGACUGCUCCUAACUGGGGGCUCUGUUAGCAUCCAGGAGUCUCCUCCUCGGAUACUCUGAGUACCCCCUCCAGAGACCCCAGGCACCGGAUUCUCUGUACGGGGCCGCUGACGUGCCCAGCCCUGGUGAACCCACCCUUCCAGACACUUCCACCCACGCCCGGCCCUGGGGCUGGGGGCGUCGGGCAGAGCGCCGGUGAAAUUCUGCCAGUGGCUAAGGCGCCUACUGUGCCCCUGGCUCUGCGAGGGUCGGGGGACUGUCACCAGGCCCAAAGUCGCCAGGGAGGAGGGGCGUGAAUGACGAAGCUCAGAUCCGGGCAAAGGAUCGGAGAGGUGAUUAGACACCCCGGGCAGGCAGCGGAGGCCGGCCCUGCUGAGCGACCCCCGUUAGCGACGACCCUCAGGGGCUCAGGCUCCACGCCCAUUAACUGGGUAUCAGUCCCUUCCAUCCCGGGGAGCCGAGCUCCUGGGAAGCAGCGCCUGGGGGCGCCGGCGACCGGCUGGGGCCGCCUCCCUGCUCCCCCGCCCUGGGCCCGAUCGCCGGGCGCGAGGCGUGCAGGGCGCGGCGCGGGCCCGGGCGCCCAGUUCAGCGGAAAGGAAUGCCUUGCUCGGCGGGGGAGGCCGUGGCCCCGAGGCCGUGUCCACCCCCGCCCGCCCCGGGCCUCAUUUACUGCGGCUCUGAAGCCCGGCCCGUUUCGCCCGCCGGGCCCCGCGGGGUGACUCCCCCCACGAUUGCGGUCCCCCGCCCUCCGCCCGGCCGCCGCUGGCGGACCCCAAAGUCGGGGCGAGUCUCCAAACCGGGGAGCCGGCCCCGCCCCCACGCCGCGGCGGCGCCCUCCCUUCCCCCUCCCCGCCGCCCGCCUCUCCCCCUCCCCCCUCCAUAACUCAAAAGCCUGUCAAGCUGGUUCCAGACUCCUGGCGCCGGGCUCCGCUCCAGGAAAGAAAAAAAGGAAAGAGAAAAAGGGAAAAAGCCGGCGCGAGGGAGCGAGAGAGGCCCGCGGAGCAAAACCGUGCGCCCCGGCACGCACAGCCCCGCGGCCCCCGACCCCCCACGCCCCUAACCCUAACGGGGAUCCCAGUCCUAGGGACACCGGGCGCGUGCGCGACCCCAAUCAGUUAUUUAUGGGCGAAUUAAUUAUGUAGCUGCCAUGGGCGGGGGGGCCGGCAGGGGCCAUGCGACGCGGAGACCACCCGGCCGCGGUGGCGGCUCUCCUGCCGGGCCUCGGGGUCGGGAGGCGUCCCCACGCCGCCCGGGGAGGAUCCCGUUGUGAGAAAGCUGCCUCGGGGUGGGGUCCGGGAGGAGCGCGGGGGAACCUGAGGAAGCGGGAGAGACGGCUCGGAGACCUCCCAAUUAGACUGGGAGGGGAGAGGGGGGCGGGCGACGGAGCUGGAAAGAGCGGGCCGCGGAGACCGGGGCGUGGGAAGAGCCUGGCCUAGGCAUUUCUUCCCUUCCUUCCUUCCUUCAUCCCCAUCCUUACUGCGAGCCCACUACGUGCCACUGCGCCCACAGCAGAGGGCGGUAUUAGGGAGGGGUUAGGAGCAGGAAGGAAUUUCGAGGUACAGCUGGGUCCAAAUCCGGAUUUGUAUCCUAUACUCCCCUGCUGUGUGGCCUUAGGCAACGGCUUGCCCUCUCGGAGCCUCCACUUCCUCAUCUGCCAGUGGUCUUCAGGACUUGGGAGAUGGGGCGCUUGGGCAGAGAGUUUGUGGGGGCGCGGUCGAAGGGAGGUCCUGUCCUUGGGAAACUUUACAUAGAGGGGAACAUGCCCAGUCCCCCAGUAUUCCCCAUCUCGAAGCCCCGACUUUGGGUCUCAUAUAAUCUGCCUCUCCCCGGGGCCCACACAUUUGAAGGUCGUUAUUAAAACCACACCACCCCCAAGGCCACUGCUCAGGACGCUCACCCCUAGCUGGCUUCUCACCAGCCUGGCCCUGCAGAAGGUCGUGCAUAUGGCAGCCAGAGGGGCUCAAUCUAGUCCUUUUACUCCCCACCUCCGCUGCCUCCCCCGACUCUGCCCUUCACAUCCCCACCUGGGUUCUCCUUCCAACCUGCUUCUAGUCUGGGCUAGGGAGAUUGGAGCCCUGAGGCCAUGGGGGCUACGGGGCAGUGAGAACAGGGGUGGGGGCUCAGCUGGCCCUCCCUGGACAAGUGUCCCCCUUAUCUGGAGUGUCAAGGCGUUCUACUUCCAAGACUCAGAAGUGAAGGAGGCUUCCGUUUGCGACCCAGGAUUGCCUAGGGGUUUGCCUGUCUUCUUUCACCAAAACUUGCAAUAACUCUGUUAGGUGAAUGGGGCAGAUCCAGGUUUUAUGGGGCCUGAAGGUUUUACAAUCCUGGGGACCCACUUGAAGAAGAAUAGUGCAAAGUUAUGAAUAGGCGGUUAAGCUCAGGGCCUUGGUAAAUGACAGUCCCAGGAGCUAAAGCUUCAUUAGCCCCUCGGUAACUCACCUCUGUAGAUGGACAACACAACUGUCAUCCCUUUGCAGAGGUGGAAACAAAGCUUAGGCUGGCCCAAGGUCACAACAGGUAGAAAGGACAAGCUGGGAUCAAACCCAGGUCCCACCCCACAGGCAGCACCCUGAACUAACUGCCUCAGUAGGAAUGCCACCUUCCAUAUCAUCUACCCCAUGCCACAUCUCACCUGUCCCCACCAGUGCCCAGCCCAGGCAGGGUCAGUCAGAACAGCCUUUGCUUCCAGAACAGUCUGUGUCCCUCCCUCCAGAGGCCUCCAUGUCCCAAGGCUCAAGCCUCAGAGAUACUGUCUUGUGACAACACUCACAGAUCUAGUAAGUAGGUCUCUUCUAAACUUUUGAUUCCAGCAAUGGUAACCUGCUCACUCCAGAACUCCAGCUCCCCCGUCCACCUGGAGGGAGCGCACCCCUGUUCCCCGGUGGGCUCCCUGGUGUUCGGGGCUGGAUCUGUUUUAUUUGGCUCAGUAUUCCCCGCUCUUGACGCAGUACAGACAUACAGCCGACAGAGUGACUGUAGCAGUAACAUCUAUUCCCAACCUCGUGGAACAGGAUGUUGUUAAACUGCGGAUUCCCGGGCCCCCCUCAGAUUCUACUGAAUCAGACUCUCUGUGCACAGGGCCGGGGACUUGGCAUUUUACAAGCUCUUUUGGGUGCAUCUUAACCAUAGUAAAGUUCGAGACCACGGACCUACGGCCAGAAAGGACCAAAUGGUUGUGUCUAGACCAAGGCCUUCUCACCAGGGGGAGUUAUCUCCCCUAAAUCCGACCGAUUUCACCAGUUCCCCAGGCUCUUCUGGCUGAGAUCAAAUUAUUUCACUUAUCAGGCCAGGCACAGUGGGUCAUGCCUGUAAUUCCAGCACUUUGGGAGGCUGAGGUGGGUGUGUCACUUGAGGUCAGGAGUUCAAGACUAGUCUGGCCAACAUGGCAAAACCCCGUCUCUACUAAAAACACAAAAAUUAGCUGGGUGUGGUGGUGGGCGCCUGUAAUCCCAGCUACUCAGGAGGCUGAGGCAUGAGAAUCGCUUGAACCCGGGAGGUGGAGGUUGCAGUGAGCCAAGGUCGUGCCACUGCACCCCAGCCUGGGUGACAGAGCAAGACUCAAAAACAGCAACAAAAAUUAUUUCAUGUAUCAAAGACCUACUGCCUGCCCGGGACUGGGUCUGAGGCCUUAGAGAAUUGACCUCAUAGGAUACUCGCAAAAGCUCUGAGAAGUAGGGAGAAUUAUUGUCCCCAUUUUACAGAUGGAAUCUGAGGCCUGGAGAAGCAAAGUGGCUUUGUGGAAGGGAUACGGUGCUGGGGAAUGAGGAGGCUGGGAUGGGAGCUGAACUCACACCCUUAACUCCUUCCUUCCACUGCCCACAAGGCCACUGAUCCGAGGGCUGUAACUCGCAAGGGUCCUUCAGUAACAUCCGGAGAUGAGAGUUUACACACCAGCCUGUGAGCGGCUUUGAGAAAUUAAACACGCUACAGAGUCACUACAGGGACCUCAUGCUAAGACGCGCAACAAAAUUAGGCGACAGGCCCCAAAGAAAUCUAAUCAAGUAGGCCUCUUCUCCUCCGUAUCUUUGGAGUCGGUGUUCAGGGGAAUGUGUGUUUGCGGAAGGAUUUGAUGUAUUUGCUUCAGGCAAAUCUUUGCCUUUUUCUCUGCCUGCAGUUCUGUGCUAGGCAGCAAGAAAGCUCCACAGCUGGUGGCCAGUGCUGCAGGCCAGCGUGGCUCCCUGGGCUUCUCUGUAGGGCUGUGUUAUCACGCUUCCCCGGGUCCGGUGCUCUGUGCAAACGUAGCCUCUUUCCUGCUCCAGGAUGGGCAAGGCACAGGGGAGGUUUCAGGUGGAGAGAAAUUGAUUUAGUGGCCACUGCUUCUGAGGCUGGAGGACCUGCCUGAGGCAGAGGGUGUGGACUUGUUCUGGGAGGACCCAGAAGGCAGAACCACGGAAGGCUACCAAGGGAGGUAGGUUUUGCCUCAAGAUGAACUAUCCAAUAGUCAGGGCAGCUGUGUAGGUAGUGAGUGCCCCACCUGGGGAGGUAGUCAAGGACAGGCAGGGAUAGAGAGUGGUGUGUCUAGGAGUACAGAGCCAUGCCUCAGGAGAAGAAGUGGCUGAAGACACUUUGAGGUCUUUUGAAACUCUGGGAAUUUCCAUAUCUAACAUUACUGACCAGCCCAUGUGGGACUGAGGGGAUAAAUUAAGGAAGGGAAGGGGCAGGUUAUGAUGGCCAGACUGGGAACCACAGACCCCCAGGGAGACAGAAGCAGGCUCCUAGCCCUUGGUCUUCCAACAAAACUACUGUUUCUCUCUCUCCCCUCCCUUCCUUUCUUCCUUCCUUCUUUCCUUCCUUCUCUCUCUCAUCACCCUCUCCUUCCCUCCUUCCCUCUCUCCCUUCCUCCCCCACUCCCUCCCUGUCUCUCUUUCCUUUUCUUUUCUUUCUUCCGACAGGGUCUUGCUCUGUCGCCCAGGCUGGAGUGCAGUUGUGUGGUCACAGCUCACUGCAGCCUCAACCACCCAGGCUCAAGCAAUCCUCCCACCUCAGCCUCCUGAGUAGCCGUGGUGAGACUACAGGUGCACUCCAUCAUGACUGGCUAAUUUUUGUAUUUUUUGUAGAGACAGGGUUUUGCCAUGUUGCCCAGGCUGGUCUCAAACUCUUGGGCUCAAAUCUUCCUUCCACCUUGGCCUCCCAAAGUGCCGGGAUUACAGGUGUGAACCACCACACCUGGCCUCACUCUCAUGACCCCUCAUGGGGUCUUGCCAUGUUACCCAGGCAGGUCUUGAACACAAGCGAUCCUCCUGACUCAGCCUCCCUAAGUGUUGGAAUUGCAGACCUGAGCCACCGUGCCCGGCGCACUAUUGUUUCUUGAAAUUCAAAUACGCUUCUUUCUUUUUCAGUCAUUUGUAAAUGUCUGGUAACCUUUCAUAAUGUUAUUAAUAAUAAUAUUUCUAAUAACUGGUAAUCAAUAACUGUACUCUCUGUAGCAUUAACUGCAUGCUUACUGAGAAAGGAUGUACUCUAGUCCAGGCAUGGUGGCUCACGCCUGUCAUUCCAGCACUUUGGGAGGCCGAGGUGGGUGGAUCACUUGAGGUCAGGAGUUUGAGACCAGCCUGGUCAACAUGGUGAAACCCCAUCUCUACUAAAAAUAUAAAAAUUAGCCGAGUGUGGUGGCACGUGCCUAUAAUCUCAGCUAUUCGAGAGGAUGAGGCAUGAGAAUCGCUUGAACGUGAGACGCGGAGGUUUCAGUGAGCUGAGAUCAUGCCACUGCACUCCAGCCUGGGUGACAGAGCCAGAAGCUGUCUCAAAAACAACAACAACAAAAACAAAAACAACAAAGAAAGGAAGGAAAGGAGAGGGAGAGGAAAAAGGAAAGAAAGGCUAUAUUCUAAGUGCUUAUGUGUAUAAAUGUGUGUAAUUGACAUGGCAGUCCUAUGAGAAGGGUGUUUAUUUGUGCUAUCACUCUUGUUUUAGAGAUGAGGACACUGAGGCUCAGAGGGCUGACAUGCCAAGCCCCAGGGCACAGGAAGGCAGGCCUCUGCUUCCACCUCACAUCCCCCAGUGCCUCUGGAAACCGCAGCCUGUGGAGGGCCUGAGGUCGCUUAUCACCUGUCUCUGCAGCUCAUCCUCAGCAAAGACUGAGGGUCCUUGAUGCUGUCCGGGUCCUUGAUGCUGUCCCCAUCUUUAUGCCAGGUCUCAUCUCAGAGGCAGGCUCAGGAAGGGAGCUGGGAGAUGCCGGCAGAGGGCCCAGGAGAGGCACACUGCCCACCAGCUAGGAGCUGCUUCUGACCUCGCUGGCCGAUGGCCGGGGACCCUGGCCCCUCCCAACCCCAGGGACACAAAGCAGAAGAUCCCAGAAUGGGGAUGGGGAGAGAGGACCAUCUUGUUCAACUUCCUCAUUCUAUACCAGGAAAACAGGCAUCGGAGAAGGGAAGAGAUACCUCAAGGUCAACGCCAAGUCCAGCAGCUGCUGCUCUCCUGAGUCCUCCACGUGGACUUCUUCUGCGUUCCCACAUCUCAUUCCUCCAAUUUUUUUUUAAAAAUUGUUAGUAGUAGCAUAAUACUAAGAAAGCACUAUUCAAAGGAACAAGAAGACCCACCGUGUGCGGAACGGUCACUGUGCACCAGGCAACGUGACCCGCAAUUUUCUCUCCUAUAAAACGGGGAUGAGAACAGGGCCUCCCCUGCUGACUCAUGGGAAGAGGUUAAGAUCAAAGGUGACAGUGGACAUGAAUCAGCAUUUUAUAAACCACAAGACAUUGUCACCAUGGCUAUCUUUGGUUUUUAUUAUUUAUUUUUUAAUUUUUUAAUUUUUAUUUUUUGAGAGCAGGGUCUCACUCUGUUACCCAGGCUGCAGUGCAGUGGUGCAAUCAUGGCUCUCUGCAGGCUCAAAUCCUGGGCUCAAGCAAUCCUCCACUCAGCCUCCUGAGUAGGUGGGACUAUAGGUGUGUGCCACCUUGCUAUUAAAUUACCUGGCUAUGGCCGGGCACAGUGGCUCACACCUGUAAUCCCAACACUUUGGGAGGCUGAGGCGGGUGGAUCACUUGAGGUCAGGAGUUCAAGACCAGCCUGGCCAACCCCGUCUCUACUGAAAAUACAAAAAUUAGCUGGGCAUGGUGGCACAUGCCUGUAAUCUCAGCUGCUAGAGAGGCUGAGACACAAGAAUUGCUUGAACUUGGGAGGCAGAGGUUGCAGUGGGUCGAGAUUGCCCCACUGCACUCCAGCCUGGGUGACAGAGCGGGACCCUGUCUCCAAAACAAAAAAUAAAAUAAAUAAAUAAAUAAAUAAAUUACCUAGUUAACUGAAAAAAAUUUUUUGUGAAGACGGUCUCAGCCGGGCGUGGUGGUUCAUGCCUGUAAUCCCAGCACUUUGAGAGGCUGAGGCGGGUGGAUCACCUGACGUCAGGAGUUCGAGCCAGCCUGACCAACAUGGUGAAACCCCGUCUCUACUAAAAAUACAAAAAUUAGCUGGGCAUGGUGGCGGGCGCCUGUAAUCCCAGCUACUUGAGAGGCUGAGGCAGGAUAAUCGCUUGAACCCUGGAGGCUGAGGUUGCAGCCGAGAUCGCACCUCUGCACUCCACCCUGGGCAACAAGAGUGAAACUCUGUCUCAAAAAAAAAAGACAGGGUCUCAAGUAUGUUGCUCAGGCUGGUCUUGAACUCAAGCAAUCUGGCUUGGCCUCCCAAAGUGCUCGGACUACAGGCAUGAGCCACCUUGCCCAGCCCCGUGGUUAGCUUUGAAUCCUGGGCAUAGAAGCUAGAAGUAAGCUCCUACCAGGGAAACCAGGUGACAUUUAGGGCCCAGAAACAAUCAGUUCUUCCAGGUUAGAUCCUCCCUCGGAAAGCACAUAGGGCCAUUUACUCAUUUGCUCAUGGUCCACCUGAAAAUCCUGCGUACAGCACCUGCUAUGUGCAGCAGCUCAGCCCCGAGGCUUUGAAUGUAGGUUCUGGACCGAGCCCUCUCAGGGUUGGGUUCAAGUCUUGGCUUUACCACUUCCCAGCUAACCAUAGUCUUCCUUCUCGAAGGCUCGGGGUCUGGGUUAGGAUGCUGGCCCAGCUGCUGUAGCAGAACCUGAGUAACAGUGGCUACAGGAGACAGGAGCUGAUUUCUCUCAUUUCAGAGGUUUUCCUCCUUUCAGUCUAGGGGAUGGGAGGCUGCCCUGGGAGCCGGUCCAGGGCCCAGGCUCCUUCUAUCUCUCUCAUCCCUGGAGGAUUGCUUCUGUCCACAAGCUUGAAGAUGGCUGCCCCUCUCCCUCCCCAUUCUCUGUGAGUGUGUGUUUGGGGAACCAAAGGGGUGGAAGCUACCAAUUUCUUUUACUGGCUGGCAGGAAGGUGCAUAGCUCAUUGCUUGUGUUUCAUUGGCCAGAGCUGAUCAUAUGACCACACCUAGCUGCAAGGGAGGCUGGGAAAGGUAAUACUUAGCCUGGCAGUCAUGUGCCUCAUUACAACCUGGGAGAGGGCCAUUCUGUUACCAAAGGGGAGGUGGCAAAAUGGGUACUGGGCAACAGCCAGCAGCACAGCAUGUGUCCCACAGGAUUCAUGGAGAUCUUUCGGGAAGCACCUAGCACAGGCCAGGUGCGUGGAGGGUGCUCAGGGAACAGGAGCUGGUGUUGAUGUUGCAGGUGAGUGCCUGCACUUUCCCAAGGGAGGCUGCAAGCCAAGCCCUGGAACUGCUCUGGCUGCUUUUUUGGGGGUCUCCACCCCACGCCCCACACCCUCUAGGUGAUGAGGAGAAGCACCAAGAAACAGCAACUCCCAGCCCGUCCUCUCGGGGCCUCACAGCCCAGUGUAGCGAAGACCUCAGAGUUCUGCCCUCCUUUCAAAGAAAGAACAGGAAAGCAGCCUUGUCUUCAGGGCUUGUAGCCCAGGAAGAGACAAGAGUGACAUUGGGGGCCUUGCACCCUCACCCCACGGCUGCCUCCAGGGACCAUGGCAACAUCUGCCUCCAGUGGGGAGUGGUGGGGUUCUUCCUGGAGGCUCAGGCAGGCGUCUGUGUUCCACCCCUUCCUAAGGCAGUGCCAGCCAAUUUGGGCUCAGAAAUGUCCCCUCUCUAAAUUUUCCCCUCUGCACCUGAAGCUCCCACAGCCCAAGGAGAACUGGUGGGUGACAGGAAGGGGAAGCAUGACCUCCAGUGCACACAGUAUCCCAGCAGGGCCAGCUCACCCAGGAGCUGAGAGGGAGGGUCUCUCUGCUCUGUAGACACUGGGUUCAGGAUCAGGAGCUGAGACCCCAGAUCAGAUAGACCUAGACCGUGGCUCUUCCUCUUAGCAGCUGUGUGAGUCUCCGUUAUAGUGGGAAUGAUAUGGGGAACCACGUCUCCAUCUUAUUGUAAAGAUUUAUAAAAUAACCCGUGCAAGGUACUUGUGGGGAGAAAUGGCUCAAAGGACAGUGCCUGCUCCAAUCACGACUAUGACUAUUGUUUUUCUAAUCCAUGCCACAGACCUUGACUUUCUGCCUCCCACGCACAUCUCCCAGCAGGCAACGCCCUCCCGUCUGGCAGUUUACACUCUAGGCCUUUUCUGAGCCCCUAAGACUGGGCAGGUCCCCUGCACGCCCUAUGCACUCUGGCUUUCUCCUUCCCAACACUUUCCAAAAUCAUGAUGAAGUCAUUAUUUGGCUGGAGUGCUGCCCUCCAGGCAAGGAAUCUCGUGACAGCAGGGACUGUGAUUCUUUCAUUCGUUGCCAUAGAACUCGUGCCCGGUGAAGGGCGGCGUGGUGUGGUGAGGAUUCACGGUGAAUGCUGCAGAAUGGGUCCUUCAUUCGCUUAGCCAUUUAUUCAUUUACCCAGAGCUAGAUGAAUUUGACUCUCCACCUCCGUCAUUUACUUUCUGGGUGACCUAGAGAAGCAUCCUUCUUCUCUUAGCCUCAGUUGCCUCAUCUGUAAAAUGGGGCUAGCGUGGCCCUCACAGAGAAUGGCAAGGAGUCAUUGAGAUAAUGGGGCUAUGACACACAGAUAUUUUGAGCACCUGGCAUCUAGCAGUUGUUCAAUAGCCACUGGCUGUAGUAAGAGUCUUAUUUGGGCAAUUGUUACUGUUAUUGUUCUCCCUGAAACUACAGCAGGAGUUUGCUCUGCCCUUUCAUGUCAAAAUCCACUGGACUGACCCACACUGCCUGACUACUGGAAAGGCCAGGAAUGGCUGAUAAAAGUUCUUUCCUUCCUCCCUUCCUCCUUUUUCUUUCUUUCUUUCUUUUUUGAGACAGAGUUUCACUCUGUCGCCCAGGCUGGAGUGCAAUGGUGUGAUCCGGCUCACUGCAACCUCCGCCUCUCAGGUUCAAGCAAUUCUCCUGCCUCAGCCUCCCAAGUAGCUGGGAUUACAGGCAUUCGCCACAAUACCCAGCUACUUUUUUGUAUUUAGUAGAGAUGGGGUUUCACCAUGUAGGUCAGGCUAGUCUCGAACUCCUGACCUCAGGUGAUCCAUGCGCCUUGGCCUCUGAAAAUGCUGGGAUUACAGGCGUGAGCCUCUGUGCCCAGCCAAGCUAAUAUUUUUUUUUAAAUGUUUUGUAGAGGCAGGGGUCUUGCUAUGUUGCCCAGCCUGGCCUUGAAAUCCUGGCCUCAGGCAAUCCUCCCAAAGUGCUGGGAUUCAGCAUGAGCCACUGAGUCAUUCAUUCAUGCAUGCAUGCACACAGUGAAUCCACAUUUUCCGAGUGCCCCCCAGGGGCCGGGCCCAAGACUAGGUGCUGGUGGUUGCAGGCAUAUAGGAGGGUCCUGGACUGAGGGGAAGCCAUCAGUUUAUCCUCUGUGCAAAGGGAAGUAGCUGAGCCCUCUGCCCGCAUCCUGUCACCCCCAUCCCCCCAUCGGCUGGUCCAUCUGUGUCCUUUUCCUGAACCUCUUUCAUCCUGGCCUGGGCAGGGGGCUCGGCACCCCCACCCCUCCCUGCAGCCAUUUCCUGCCCUCCUGUCAUCUGCUUCCUUUGAUCCUUUUGUUGGAAGACUCUUGGAAGCCUCUGAGCCGUUGGCAACCCCGUCUACUGGGCUGGGGCUGGUGACCCUACAGGGGCUGUGCCCAAAGUGGGCUUCUCUUGGAAUCCUGCUCUGGGAGGCAGAUGGAUUCUGACCACAUUUGUUCAUUCGCUCAUUCACUUAUUCAUUCACAGGUUCCAGGCUCUAUGCUGGGCCCAGGGGCCACAAAGUAAGCAAGACAGCCAUGGACCCUGCCCUCAUGGAACUCCAGCCCAAGGAACAGUGGCUCAUCCCAUGCCAAGGGGCUCCUCUCAAAAUUCCCACAGCAGUAGCGAUCUAAAGGACCUGGGCAGGGGCACUGGAAUUCAAGUCCCAGCCUCUGGCGAGUGUCUUUACUCUUGAGCCCCAGUUCCAUACGUGGGUACUUGCGGAGGGACUGGACCCCAUAUUCCCUAAGGCCUUCCAAGCUCAAAAACUGUGAGAAGAUGCGGUGUGGCCAGGACGCUGCUAGAGUGAGCUUCCUGGAUGCAGGAAGGGGGCUCUGGGCCCAGCAGAGAGGCAGGGUGAGGAGGCCAGAAGUAUAGGGGGCCCAGUUUGACGGGAGAUGGAAUACACAUUGUCAUUUUGAUUUUUUUCUUUUUUAUUUAAUACUGUUGAUUCAACAGUAAGAAUACACAUUGUUGAUCAGAAAAUGAAUAGAGCCUUAUCCCCAAAGACAACAAGCCUCUUCUCUUUAUCUUGUAUGGGGCCUCCACAACCGGCUCAGGACAGGAGUUAAGUCCAUGCUGGGAAGGGGCUACCAUUUAUUGAGCACUUACUAUGUGCUAGGGAUGCUGGGCUGAGCUCUUCAUGUCAGGCAUGAAUCCAUGGAAUCCCCACUCUGGUCCUAUGAAGCAGGUGCAAUCAUUCUUCCCAUUUUACAGAUGAGAACAGGGAGGCACGGAGAGAUGAAGAUUGCCCAGAGUCCCACAGCUUGCAAGAUGCCACAGCUGGGUUUUGAACCCUGUUUGCCUGGCUUCAGCCCCCACACUGUUCUGUCCCCUGGUGACUGAAUGGGGGGACCUCCAGGCAUCAGGACGCUGGGCUACACAAGGUAGCAGACUUUCUGGGGUCUGCCUCAGUAGUUCCAGUCUUGUGGCUGGGUGGUUCACCCCCUUUCCCUCAGAGGGUGGAAAACAGUCAGAGAAGACAGCAGGAGGCCCACCUGCCACAGGAAGUCCUUCAGAGGACAGCAGUAGGGACUCCUAGAAUGGCUUCCCCACCCACCCUUCAGGGCUCCUGGAGUCCCAGCAAGGCUGGCACCAGCUCCCUCAAGCCCUUUUAGGAAUUGCCAGUGGCUGAGCUUCUCCUAGUUCUUGGUGUGAUGGACUCCUAUAGAGCUCUCAACACCCUGCUCAGGUGCCCCUCAACCUCCCUAGGAUGACUCAAUCCCUCCUCUCUCAAUGCCCUCCUCUGCAUCUGAUACCCUUUCCUAUACACACUGCGACUCGUACUGUGGAAACCUGCAAACGUGUGCUCGUUGUUGAUAGUACAGCAAUACCAGCCUCUUCAGCCAGCAUUUUUUCUGUGCCGGGCCCCAUGCCAUGUGCACAACCCUCACCAGCACCUGGGACUGUUCUUACCCCCACUUUACAGAUAAGCAAGUUAAGGCACAAAAAACACUUAGGUGUCUUAUCCAGUGAUCCAGGGAGGCCAGGCACUGUGGCUCACACCUGUAAUCCCAGCAUUUUGGGAGGCUGACAAGGGCCAAUUGCUUUCACCUAGGAGUUUAAAACCAGCCUGGGCAACAUGGCGAAACCCCAUCUCUAUGAAAAAUACAAAAAUUAGCUGGGGGUGGUGGCGCAUGCCUGUAGACUCAGCUCCUAGGGAGGCUGAGGUAGGAAGAUCACUUAAGCCUGGGGAGGUCAAGGCUGCCGUAAACUGUGAUUGCGUCACUGCACUCCAGCCUGGGAGACAGAGUGAGACAAAAAAACAAAACAAAACAAAAUACAAAACUGUGACCCAGGGACCACCUGCAGGGAGUGCCUGUCCUGGCCAUGCCUGGAUUUCUAACCCCAUCCUUAGUGUCUGCCUUCCGGCCUCCUGGGUUUUACUGCCUCACAAGGGGCCCUUUAGGAACAAUUGUUUUGUUUUGUUUUGUUUUGUUUGAGAUGGAGUCUCGCUCUGUUGCCAGGCUGGAGUGCAGUGGCGCAAUCUCACCUCACUGCAAUCUCUGCCUCCCGGGUUCAAGCGAUUCUCAUGCUGCUCAGCCUCCUGAGUAGCUGGGACUACAGGUGCACACCGCCACACCUGGAUAAUUUUUGUAUUUUUAGUAGAGAUGGGGUUUCACCACAUUGGCCAGGCUGGUCUCAAGCUUCUGACCUCCAGUGACCCGCCCGCCUCAGCCUCCCAAUGAAUAAUUGUUGAAUGAAUAAAGGAAUGAGAAGUCAAUUUUCUCCAAGGUGCUUGUGGCUGACUUGUCCCGCCCCAGACCAUGCAGCUCCACUGCUCCCCUUUCCC